GGUAGGUGUAGGUUAGGAUGUGUCUUCUGGUCGUGGUCUACUAGUUGGGGCCGAGGGAAGAAGAUGACGAUUCCAAUUUCAGUAGCCACUCUCUAGGCUUAUGAACUGAAAGACCAAGGAGCACAAUUUCCGAGUUUCAAAGAUACUUUCAAACUGAAAGGAACUGUUCGCCAGCUGCUCGCGAAGUGGCCCAUGUGACCCCUAGUGAACGGUCUAAACUUCCGCUAGAUGCUUUGGGAAUUCGUAAAGCGACUGCGUGCGCGGCAGCCAAGCCACAGCUUUACAGGGUUCGCCUUCUGUGUGGGAACGCAGCUUUUCCCGAGAAAUUGGGUUAGGGAUUAAAGAGAAGAACUGCAUCCUUUUUACUGCCCUUUUUCCACGUCUGUCCUGGGCUUAGGGCCCUCCUCAGAGGCCAGAGGGGUAGGCGAGUCCGGGGCGGUAGGGGGCUGCGUCCGGAAGUCCAGGCUGCGUUCUGUCCACCCUGCCCACCCUUAGGGGGCAGGACAGGAAUAAGGUCACCUCACCAAAGAGGCCCAUCAACAUGGAAGAAUAUUUCAGUGAAUCUUGACUCACCAAGCUCAGUGACUUUUCAUUGAAAAGGGAGAGCAGAUUACAUUAUCAAAAGCACCAAGUUGAAACAUUUGCAAGGUGUGCAUCAUUUCACAAUUAUUGGCAAUGGUUCAAUGGUUUCAUCUGCUUUGAACGGUUUCUUCUCUAUCAUUAAGAGGUGAAGGUUGAUCAUGGUGAUGUGAAACUCUACCAAAAUCUCCAUCUGCAGAGCGGAGGCAUGUUGCUGUAGAAGCGCACUGGAAGGAAACUCAGAUCACUGAGGUCCAGCCUCACUGCAGCCUUUGGUUCUUUCCUUGGCCCAUGAAGAGUCUCUUAGCCUCACUGAACCUAUUUUCCUCCUCUGUACAAUGUUCACAAUUAAGUCCUUGCUUAAUGCACAGUAGUGUGGGGAAAAUAUUAGAAUACCAUUUACAUUUGUAUGAUCUUUGAUAACUAAUGAAACCCUUCUCCUCUGGUUUUUCUUUUUUUCUCAUACAAAUGCAAUGAAGUAGUUGGCCUAGGCAAAGAAUUUAUGACUGAUCUCAAAAGCAAAUGCAACAAAACAAAAAUAGACAAAUGAGACUCAAACUGAAAAGCUUUUCCACAGCAAAAGAAAUAGUCAGCAGAGUAUACAUAUGUAACUAACCUGCACAAUGUGCACAUGUACCCUAAAACUUAGAGUAUAAUAAAAAAAAAAAAAAAAUCUGUAGGAUAAUAUCAUCAGUGAAUUUACAUUUAAAAAUGCUAAAUAAAUAUGUAUGUAUUUCAGAUUUCAGAAAUAUAUUAAAAAUCAUGGAGUAUGAUUAAAAAAAAAAAAAAAAGAAAUAGCAGAAUAAACAGACAACCUAUCAAAAGGAAGAAAAGUAUUUGCCAACUAUGUAUCUGACAAAAGGGUAAUAUCUAGAAUUUACAAGUAAUUAAAAUAACUCAACAAGAAAAAUACAAAUAACCCCAUUAAAAAGUGGACAAAGGACAUGAGCAUUUUUCAAAAGAAUACAUACAGGCAGCAACAAACGUGAAAAAAAAGUUCAACAUCGCAAAUCAUCAGUGAAAUGCAAAUUGAAACCACAAUGAGAUAGCACCUUUCACCUGUCAGAAAGGCUUUUAUUAAAAAGUCAAGAAAACGUAGAUAUUGGUGAGGAUGAGGAGAAAAGAGAAUGCUUAUACACUGUUGGUGGGAAUGUAAAUUAGUACAACCUCUAUGGAAAACAGUGUGAAGAUUUCUCAAAGAGCUAAAAAUAGAACUACCAUUUGAUCCAGCAGUUCCACUACUGGGUAUUUGCCCAAAGGAAAAGAAAUUAGUAUAUUAAAAAGACACUUGUGCUCGUAUGUUUAUCACAGCAAUAUUCACAAUAGCAAAGACAUGAAAUCAAUAUAUGUCCAUUAGCAGAUGAUUGGAUAAAGAAAAUGUGUAUACAUUCUUGGAGAAACAUAUAUAUAUAUAUAUACACACACACACACACACACACACAAAAUACACACACAUAUAUUAUACACAUACACUCAUGCACACACACCAUAGAAUACUAUCCAUUUAUAAAAAAUAAUGAAAUCAUGUCUUUUGCAGUAACAUGGAUGGGACUGGGAACCUUUUUUUUUUAGGUUAAAUCACUCAGAAAGUCAAGUACUGCACAUUCUCACCUAGUAGGAGCGCAACAAUGUGGACACAUGGACAUACAGAGUAGAGUAGUAGACACUGGAGACUCGAAAAGGUGGGAGGGUGGGAGGUGGGUGUGGAAUGAGUAAUUACCUGUUGGGUACAAUGUACCCUAUUUAGGUGAUGGUUCCACUAAAAGCCCCGACCUCACUGUUACACAAUAUAUCCAUGUAACAAAAAUGCACUUGUACUACCUGACUCUAUAAAAAUUAAAAAAAAUACAAUGAAUUAGGAAACACAGUAAUUUGUUUUUCUCAUUUCAGACUGGGAUGCCCAGAGGUUUUACAUGCUUAAGGUGAGGAACUGAGGCCAGAGUCACCUUGUCAUAGUCAUUGCGUGGUGCUUUUUGGCUAAAGUACAAAUGAGUACUAUGUAUGUGAAGGAGAAGUAUUAGGCUAUGAUGUCUCUAAUUUUUAAAAUACUAUUUUGACAACCUAAUUAAUAAUAUUGGGCUUAAUUUUAAGGGUAAGUAAUGUAAUUAUAUUUUCACAUACCUCAGUUUUGCU
rnacentral:lncRNA from 10 species